GAAGAAAGUAACUAGACACAUAGAGUUUAACAAUGUUCAUAUCUCAUAAUAAAAAACAACACAAUAUUUCGAAUUUAUUCUUUACCGCCAUUUUACAUUUUAUUUGUUAAGGCGCAUAAUAAUAAAAAUCACAAAAGCUACAAACUUUAAUUAAAUCACACAAAAUGACUUAAUUAAGCAAUAGGAGUCUUAAUGUAAGCCAAAUGAGUCUGAUUAGCAACUCUGCUCAUCGUCUUCAGCUCAUUCGCAAUCCAGCACCUCGACGAAUCACUCUGAUAAAAAUAUCCCAAGCACUUACAAUCCUUACUGCACUUCUCCUCGCACGCUGAUUUCGCCACCGGCGAAUCGCCUCUCGUAUACUUCGCCAUGAAAUGAUCAACCCCCUUCAACUCAAAGUACUUAAACUUUCUACCGGAGCAACUGCUCACGCUCACCGCCGGCGGCUUGCAUUCCUUGCUCCAGCCGGUCAACCCGUUGGGGGUCGGGCACGCCACACACAUGCUGUCCUCGCAGAGACCGAAAUCUCCGCAGCGACCGGGGAGCUGACAUUUGGUGUCCAGCGCCCACGGGUCGUCCUCGGAGAAGACGGUCACGGAGGUCUCCCAGCGCUGGAAUUCGGACCCUUCGGUGUCGUUGGCGAUUAUGAAUGUGUGGAUCUUGAGGUUGCCGUCUAUUUCGAGGCGGAAGUAGGAUAGCGUGGUGUUGAAUCUAGGGUUCUUUAGUGUUGUGACGCCUUCGAAUCCGAGUUCAGAACUGAAGGUGACGUUUUGGAGUGUGGAUUGGUUCGGGAUGAAUAAGGAUCGCGCCCCGGCAAACGAGAAGUACCUGUCGAAAACCAAACGGAAAUAGGUUACGAUUACUGAUCUGGUUGAGUCGCUUUUUUUAACACGUUUGCAAUGUUGUCUCGAUUUAACAUAACACGGCCUCCAAGAUAGAUUAUGUUAAAAUUUAAAAAAGAAUAACAUAGUCUCAAAUCCGACCCACCCACUUGCUCAACUGACCAGUCAGGUUAAGUCCUGUACGGCCCGUUCAAACCGAGUUUUGAGUAACCAAAAAGCCUGGAGUAAAUAGCAUUAGGUCGGGUUUGGGUUCGACCCAAUACCGACGAAACCCCGGUAUGACCUGGUCGGAUCGUGUGCUCAAAACUCACUAAUUCUAUUUUAAUGAUGCAUAUUACUCCGGGGUUUGCAAAAUUGGUGGUUUGGGUAAAGCCCGCACCGAAAAAGGCCAGUUUGACAGAGUGUGUAAGCCAACCCGACCCGACCCGACCCGACCCGAUCUCACCCUUUUUAGGGGAGAGAGUUUUCUAUAAAGACAUUUUUAAUUUCGUAAAAGAAUUAUUCGCAUUUCUCCAACAAUACCUGUAAGGUGUUCGAUUUGCCCCAGUGAAGUAAAGCGCCAAGUCCUUCGGUUCCAAAACGAAGCUGUACGCUCCGUUUUGGUUCAGCUCGACCGACGCUCGGCUGGUCAGUUUCGUCACACCCCCAAUCCGAAGCGACUGCCCCACGAGCAACGUAUCGGUAGGAGAAUCGAAGCUCUGCCACACGAACCCGCUUCUCGCAUCGACCAGCACCAUGUUCCCAUUGUUAAGGAUUCGGAAUCCGGUGACACCCUUAUUAGCCGUGUUGGAUUGCCACGCCAUCCGGCCGUCAGAAUGUGCGAGUACGAGGUUCCCGUUCGCUCCCAACGAGAACGUUGCGUUUUCUCCCACGGGAUUGCCCCGAUUCGCCUCCCACACCCAUCGCAUCAGCGACUCGGACCGGACAGUGCCCAUCCGGAGGGCCAGAGUGUACUGGCCAGGAGUGGUGUUGUAGAAGCACAUCUGGAACGGGGUUGUGGCGAGGGACAAGACGCGGUAGUUUGCUCCAUAUUCGACGAUGUAGUCUCCGAAUUCGCCCGAGUUUGAGAAGGAGAAUCGGGCGGAUGGAGGGACGGUUGCUUCGGUCGCAAGGAAGAAGAAGAAGAAGAAGAAACAGAGGAGGGAUUGCUGCUGAUGCCACAUCUUUAGGUGUUGUUUGGUUAUGUUUUGAAUUUUGUUUUGGUUUGAUGAUUUUGUGACGUUGGAGAUUGUUGAUUUAUAUAGUGGAGGAAUGAAAGGGAAAGGAAGUUUCUUUUUCUUUAUCCAGUCAAGUCAAGAUUGGAUGCUGCAGAGUCUUUGUUUAUAAUGGAUAAUGCUUUGUAUUUCUGCAGGGUGCAAGUUGGCCAUGUUGAAGCUGGGGUUCACUCUGUAAAGUUUGUAUCUUUUUGAAAAAAGUUAUAAUAUUGUCUGGCAUUUUUAUGAUUUGUCUGGCUGCUAUAUUAUGAUUUGUGGGUUGUUAUAAUAUUUUUUGUUUAAUAUAAUAGGGUUCGUUAUUUUGUAUUUGUCGAAAAGUUUUUAAUUUUGGUUAGAAUUUGGCGAAAUUAAGCCUUCAAGUCCGGUGGAUUGGGGAUGUAGCUUUGUGGUGAUAGAGUAUGUUUCUGGCAAUCGGAAUUAACUCAACAAAUUUGAUGAAUUUCACCUCAAAUUUCGACCCGGAAAAUGUAGCCUUAGUUUUAUUGCGAACUAUAUAGUAUAUGGGAAAAGGUUUGGUUGGUGAAGUAUAAACUAUUUUGACCGUGUUGUAUGACUAGUCAUUCUAAUAGUUUGAUGGCUUUUAUGGUUUUGGAUAGUAGUUUGAUGGUAUUUUAAAAGCCACCAAUUUAGGUGUAGAUUUGUACUUCUUUUUAGGUUAAAACCAGGGAUAUGUUAAUAUGUUAUUCUUCGCUUAACAAAAAUGAACACUCAUUGUAUAUGAAUCCAAGAUCUAUUACAGAGUUCGAAUUCGCAAUCGGUCAAUAUGGUCUUUGUCAUUUGAACCGAAAAAACCUACCUACGGCCGGAUUCCCAUCAGUACUCCUUGUUCAUAGGAGAGGGAUGGUCCUGAAUCUCGAACCAAAAUCAUGAUUUAGCACUAUGAUUCAGAACCAGAUUCGGAAAGGAUUAAAAGGAUCAACUUCCGUUGGACGGUUGGACCAGAUUCGAUCGGAUCGCGAAAGAAUAAUCCUUCAUCGUGUUAUUUUCAGCUCCACGAGGACACGUCCAAGGCUAAGCUUCAUUGAAUCAUCGAUCAAGUUAUGUGUUCCACUUUCCAAUGUCGAUGACUAAAGGGAGCUAACUCUCCAAGGCUCCCUCAUCGAAUAUAUCACGAGUUGUUGUUAUAAUUUUGAUCUAAUUUAUAAACAAAGAAUACGAUGAAUGGUUCUAUAGUAAUAAAUGACUAAUUAGAGCACGAUGUAAAUAUUCGUAUCUCAUUUUCGAGUUCGAGCUUAUUUUUAGGUUGCUUAACAAGUGGAGACGAGUUCGAGCCACCAGAUAAAUUAACGGGCCGAAUUUGAACAGGACAAAGCUUAGCUCGGCUCGUCAGCAGAUCUAGCUACAUAAAGUUUAGUGUGUUUUUUUUCCUUUUUGGUUUCCGGAAAUGUCCUUGCUGAAAAUAGUAGCAAGCAUAUCACAAUAGAUAGAUCCGAAUAACAAUUAUUUUGGAUGCGGAGUGACGACGACGCAUAAUGCUACGUAAGCAGAUAGAGAUGCGGGGCAUUUGAUAAUUGAAAGCAAGACGUAGAAGGUUUGCUUUCCUUUUGGCUACUGAUUAAUUAAGCUGCAUGUUCAAACAAGACUAAUAAACACAUCAGAAUCAGAACGACCACAAAAUCAGGACAAGAUCUCUAUCAUCAAAGAAAGAAAUCUGGUGAAAAUGAUAUAUCUUGUUCUAGACAGUACUACAGUCUGUACUUAAUCAACAACGUUGAUUUGUUGUAAGUAAAAAAUCUUCCUGUUCUUAUGUCAAUUCUGUCAGAUUUACGUUCUUAAUUGUUUUCAUAACAGCUGCACCAGCUGGUUGCAGGGCAGCAAAGGGUAUGUGUUUCAUUGAAAGUCAAACGAUUCAGCAGCCACCAAGGGCCACCAAGGGCCACCUUUCCCCUCGCCAUUACUGCAACAAAUGUUGACGGACGGUGGACCAACAAAUAUGCAUAUCACAAUCCAUGUUCUCUGCAUUUACUUGUGGGGUAAAAUACAAUAUAGGAAUUCAUUGCUGUCUUCCAACUACCAAACUUCUUGCACUAUUGUUGAUUCAGUCCACUUGACCACAUGAGUUCUCUACAAAAAGUGUUUGUGCCGAUGCGGAAAUUGGAGCAGUAAUCAGACGUCAAUUUCAGAAGUAACAAAGAUCCGAAUGAAUCAGAAGUAACGAAGAUUCGAACGAGAUUCAUGUGUUGAUACAGCAGGUGUGGGAGGUCGAGUUUAUGCAUGUUUAUAGAGAAGACAACCACGCAUUAGAAUAUUUUGCUAACAUUACGUACGAAAUGCCAUUAGGUGUUUAUGAUUUUCUUAUUUCUGAUCCUUUUCUGGGCUACUGGUUCGCUAUGUGUUUGGAAGGAUUAGGUACCAAAGAAUUUCACAUUAAUUUAAAAUUUUCAUAUAUACCAAACGACCCUUUAUACUCAUUCAGUUAGCUUCUCCCUUCGAGUUUCCCUUUCUGUUGUUACAUUGGUCCCCAAAAAAACAGAACAAACAACGGACAUUUUCGUCCUUAAUCAUCAACAAAUCCUUUUUUCUCAACUUGAUCACCAAAUUCGACAAAGAAUUUUACUUACUACCUGAGGACAAGAACCCAUGUCCUUGCUCGUCCUCUGAAAACGGGUGACAAAUCUUUCGAAGCGCGUCGUACCUCUUGAGAUCGAAGUUGCGAGUUUUCAUCAACUUCCUCUGCUUAGCCCGGAACCGGCUCUCGAAGAACCCUUCAAACGUCGGCUCCCUGGACGUUCUAAGGAAGAAACCGUACCCGGCCAUCACGUACAUUGAGGUGACGUAGAAGCAAAUGGGCUCCAUCACGUCCCACGAGAGCUCCCAGAAGGUUAGCCUCAUGAACCCUGCGGUUUGGAUGACUAGGUAAGCCAGUCCUCCCCACAGCUCUCGGCGGACUUGGGCUCUUGCUUUCUCGUCGAUCAAUGAUUUCUGCUGUUGUAGCUGUUCGAAUUCUUUCUUUCUUGGGUCAUCUGGGUUUGUUGCUGGGAAAGGGAUUAGUCCUCCGAUGACUUUGACAACCUGUAAUUUGUAUGCGCAGAGAAGGGAAAACAAAGCACAAAUGGUUGGGGUAAAAGCUUGCUCCAUGUAUCACUCACUGUUUGGAUGUUGAAUGUUUUAUUUCGAUGAAUGUAAUGGCAAUCAGGAAGAAUGAUGAACCAAAUUCCAAAAGUUACAGAAAAAAGGCAAUGAAAAGAAGAAAAACAAACACAAUGAGCCAUAGAAGUUGAAGAAAAGGUGUGAUGAACUACAAGCUAAUUGUAAAAAUGAGUUCGAACUGUGAAAGUGCUUACUGGGAAUUUUAGAACAAACACGAUCAAUGAGCAUAUAUGGGCUUUAACGUCGGUUUCAAAGCGCCACAAGACAUAAACCCACCGGCGUUAUUACGAACAUGUCAGGCAGGAUAAGAACUGAAGGAAGAACAGUAUCUUAACCAAAAGGGCACAGACAAAUGCAGAGUGGAUCAUAGAGAUUCUAAUGGCCACCCACUCCUUCAAUCCCCAUAAUCUAAGCUCAUACUCUCAGUUUUCCCCUCAUCUGCAGCUAUCAUCCAUACCCUUUCUUAAUAAACUCUUCUGACAAUCUAUCCUCAUACCCAAACCCCUCUUUCAACCCUCCUUUUCCCCAGACUAUCAACAGCAGGAACUGAUCAUCUGACCGAAAAUCGAACAAGUCCUCCAAUGAGCUAAAGGACACAAGGGGAUCCAAAGCCUAAUCUAACAAGGAUGAAUUCUUGACUCUAUCUAAAUCAUUCCACAUACUUCUGAAUCUAACCCUGUAUCCAAGUUCUCACUUCCCCUCUCAUAUAGAUGAACUUGACUAUGGUCACCAAAUUCGAUUCACCUAUGUUGAUCCAAAUGGUGAUAGUAAGACUUAAAUGGAUUCAAAAAAGAGAGACACAAUCAAGCCUUACUAAGACCACAUGCACCCAAAGAGAAAAACAUUAAUUGAAAGAAUCAAUCUUUGUCACUCUGGAAACAACUGAAGUUUAUUGGGGGUCCCUUCUGGCCUGCCGAAAGAAUAAAAUAGAGAAAAAAACAUCAGUUUUCGGUAAUUUGAAGUUUUGAAAGAAAGAAUUUUUCAUAUAAUCUCUCGGUUGUGAUUAUCUGGUUGUUAAUUUUGGAACCCUAACCCUCAGAGAAGGACCGAUCCAAUCUCUGUCAAAACAAAUUAGUGAAACAACAAAAAGGAUGCCAUGAAAUUGCAGAUUGUUCUUUCAUCAUUCAACAAUUACAAAAUGGAAGUCCUUUUUUACCUGCUUCGGUUUGAGGAACACCGCAUCUCCCAAUACAAGCACAGUUCCGGACUCGUCAAGCGUCCGAGCCAUCCGACUCCCUUCCUCCGGAUCCGAACACACUUCCCCGCAGAUCCGGACGAACUCCGAUCGGAGCAUCCAGUCUCUCCCCGCCGAAUCAUUCAGCCUCGAUUUCACCGUCUCCAGCCGUGCCACCCGGAGCAGCUUCCUCGCGUCGUCGACCGUUACCACCUCGUCCACAUCCGGCUCCGGUUUCUCGAUCGGAGGAGGUCGGAGGCCAUCUAAUCGGAUCCGAUCCCUGCCGACGCCGAACUCCCGGAGCUUCUCCGUCGUAAGCAACCGACGGAUUACAGAGCUGUCUCCAGGAUCGGGGGCGAUGCUCGCCUUACUCCGAUACUGAGGGAUCCGGCGGCUGGUUAAGGAUUGGAUCGUCGACGAUCUGGGGAGCUUGAGGAGAAGAUCAGCUAGGGAUUUCUUGGACGCCAUCGUUGAUUUUUCGUUCUUCCUCCAAAGUUUUCGGGUGCCCGAAAUGAAUAGUGGAUGACCCGAUUGUAGAUCUUUAAAUGUUUAUAUAGGUCUCCUGAUAAUGAGGAUUAUGACGUUAUUAUGAAUAAAUGGCAUAUUUCUGGCAUAAUUAGGAGAUAUAUUUUUUCCAUUUAAUUCUUAUCUCUUAAGCUUUAAUUAAGGUUGCAAAUUGCAAUGAAUUUUUCAAACGGUAUAAUAGGUAUUUAUUUCCUAUCAUUAUCAUCUAAUUCCAACUAAUUACAACUGUCUAACGCAUAUGUUAAACGGUUUUCAUGAUGAAUUAAUCGAAUUACAAAAUAAUCACAUUAUGAAAAUAUUAAAUUAUAAAAUUGAUUAGAGGUGAUAUAAGGGUUCACACACAUCAAAAUCAACUCAAAACCACUCAUCAUUAUAUUAUGAACGGGUCAGGUGGAAAGUGGUUGGACCAAAGAUUAAUAACUAUUUAUUUAAUUUAUAAUGAACUCAUAAAUUCCUUUCUUUUAACGAGUAAAAAAAUUUAUUUUACAACUUCUCAUUGCCGAAUAUAAACAUGAUUACAUAAGAUUAAGAGAUAAACUCUUACACGCACGACAUCAACCCACCUCAUUGCGACUCACUAUUUUGAAAACUCAUACUAAUCAUCUACUUCAAAAUAAGUAUUAUCUUAAUCUAACUAAAUGGGUUCGGUUGGUUAGUCUAAACGAUUGGCCCGAGUCGUUAUGAAACCCUAAUCUCGGGUUGAUUAACAUUCAAUAUAAUACUUUUCAUACAGGCUAGCUCCGUGUUGGUAUUAUUGGCCCAUUCUCAAUUAUUAGCUUUAGCCCAACAACUAAAAACGGCCCAGAAAAGCUUUCAAACUUCAUUUCCCGCCUCCACCGGGAAGAAAAUUCGAACUUCCUCCUUUUUAGCUCUUCAAAAUUCUUCAGUCUCAAAUUCAAAAAACUCCAUCGUCGAGCUGAUCCAUUUCUCUCCACCGCCUCUUUCGCAUUCUACAUUUCCAGCGUUAAUCAGCCGCUCCCAGAUCCGUGAGUGAACCUUCCCCAACUUUUUGAUUCGUUUCAAUUUGAUCCCUGAGCUAGGUUUCCGAUUUUUGGUCGAAUUCCUAAAGUGCGUUCUCUAGGGUUCUUGACUUCAAUUCAUUGAGUUAAGGAUGAGUGGAGAUGAAAACUUUGGAGCCCUAAGGGAUCUGACGAACCAGCAAUUGAAAAGAGGGAUUUCGUCGGAUUCAGGUCCCGCUAAGAAGUUGUGUUUAGGAGUUGAGAAUUCGGUGGGAGAGAAACGUAGAGAUUCAGAGCUUCAUCGUUGGUGAAAUUGGUUGCGACGUUUCUCAUUGUGGAUCUAGCAGGACUGGUAGUGAUGACGAAGUGAGAAUUACUUAUAAUGCCUCACUGACUAAAUCGGUUGAAGAAGGAUUUGGUAGUGGUAGCAAAGGUCGUGACUGUCGUAGUUCUGACGAUUUCAAUGGUGAGGAAACUAGGCAUUGUGAGAGUUCAGUGUUGCAGAGUUUCAAACUCUCCGGGAUUGAUAGAUGCACAAGUCAUGAAGAAGGUGGUGCUGCUGAGUUCCUGAAAACAUGUAUUUUCUUGUUCGUUUUGUUUGACAGGUCUGUGUUAGCUCCCUCGUACAUGUUUUACAGUUUGCUUCAUUUGAUUGAUUGAACCCUGUUUCUGAAACUAAUCAGCAAUUUAAUCCGUAUAACCGUGAUAGAAUUGUCGUGUUUAGCAUACUGUUUUAGAAUGAUUAUUCAUAAGUCCACGCCUCUUAUAACUGUGGUAUUGAUCUAUACUUUGUUUUGUUUUGUAUAUGUGGUUAUGAUGAUCAGCUGCUUUUAUGUGGUCGGACCUUCACUUCCAGGACAUCAAGGGUCGAUUGUCUUGUAAGUUUUGUGGAAGAAAAAUAAAUCCUCACAACAAUUCGUGAACUUGUACUUCAUAAUAGCUGAGUUUUGAGUCUGUUGAUUUCUUUCUAAUUGUAUAGUUUUGAAGAAGAGCAAGAAAGAAGCUAGCAUGGUGAACAAACACUUAAGCGGGAGGCCGGCUGAAAUCCACAAACAAGGAAACUUCAACAUAUCAUGUCAAUGGAGAUCUCUGUUUCAGCACAUGGAGGACAUACUUGUUCAUGAAAGCAGCCAGCUUGUGAGUCCAACCAAACUCCCAUUUCUUUGUUUUGUUCAUCCGUAUUCACUCAUGUUACAGUUCCUGUGAUUGUAAAACCAAUUCAGUUUGCCAAGGGUGGCUGAUAUAGUAUGGGUGUAGGUUUGGAUUGAGUGUGGUUUCCUAAUCUAGUCGUGACUUUGACCACCCGAAUAAGAGGAAAUCGAAUCACAUUAUUGAUGAUGACCACAAAAAUCGUGAUUUUGCAAUAGACAUGAUGUCGAUGAUAUACCCGUUGAGGAAUGUUAUAUAAACCAAUUUUGACUACGUAUUAGAGUCUUUGACCGAAAGGUCAUGUUAGCCCGUAAGAUAACCAAUUCACUAGCACAAGAGUUGGUUUCGUGGUGAAAUUAUACAAACUUCAAUUGCUUUUCAUGGCUUUUCAUUUAAAGGGAAUCUUUGUUAACAAAUUGCCUUCUUCUUUUAAUUUUCCAGGAAGAGAACUUCCUUGCAGUGAAAGACUUCAGAGAGAGUUGCAAGAUGGACAUUGUGAGAACUGGGUUACCUUAGUUUACACCUUUGUUCUGAUAUUGUAACAUUUUCGUAAUUCUUUUCUACCAAUUCGAGUUAUUGGAAUGACGUAACUCAAUCAACAUAAGAGGUUGUUUAGCCCUAUGUGGAAGUAAUGUGCUUGUUCAACAAAGAUGCUGUCCAGAUAUUUGUUCAGAGUCUGUUUGUUCUGUUGAACAAAAUGGUGGAAAGUGGAAUCCUUUUUGUCAAUUGGCAGGAGUUGACUUGUGACACGCCACCUAUGAUUUUGGGUUGUGUCACCUAACAGCUUGGUCUGGCCUUAGAGUGGAAGUUUCUUGAGUUGAAUAAACACUGUUUGUCUGUCAAAAAGUUUUAGGUACAUGACAGUGAGUUUCUGGUGGUUUGGUUUGGUUUGGAAUAAAGCUCUGAAAAGAAGUAAACUUGUAUGGUUAAGGUUCUAUCUUCUAAUAUAGAGUUGUCUUCCAGAAGGCUCACUUGACACAGUUGAAUUUCAGUUUCAAACCGAUUUGUUACAAGUUGACUUGGACAUCGAUGAACCUAGAAUCCGAGUGAUUGUAUGAUUUGACCACUAAUCCGAAUAACUCAUGAUCCAAUCGAAGACCGAACCAUAAUCUUGAUGAACCGUAUGAAAGGAGGCAAAAGUUGUCAAAAGUUGAUUUGACACAUCCACUGGAAUGUCGACUUACCGAAUGUAAACAACUAGUAACUUGUCUAACUCGAAAAAUCGAUGAACUUCCUGAAUCACGUAGUUUUGUGAUCUGAUUGACCCACAAUUUGCAACCCGAAUAAACGAACCCCUUGGCAUGCCUAACCAACUAAGCUUGACAGCUCUGCUUGUGUGUAUUGGUUGAUUUACAUGUUGGCAAUUGAGUGAUGAUGACCCUUAAUUUGCUUCAAAGAUGAACCAAAGAAGUUUGGUGUGCCAAGCUUUUUGAGAUGUUGACUUUUUUACAUAGAAUAAUAAUAAUACAAUGCACUCUUUGUAAGUUGACUUCACAAACUAUAUGAUAAUAAUCAUUGCCCACUUAGUUGGCAAUAAUUUGAAACUCCAAUAAUUCCAUCUUUCCAAGAUUCUCACCGGAUCUCGGAAACGAUGAAAAUUCUAAUUUUGAUGUUGAUGUCGACAUCAAGAUGUGAUUUUCUCGUACCACCUUGUACAGAUGAAUAUGUCUCAAAAUUUGGUGGAUAUGCAGCGACCCUCCAUCGAUUGUGGAUCUUUGCUGGCGGCUGUGGAAACUUCGAUUUGAUGCUGAUGCCGACAUUAGUCCCAUGGUUUGUUGAUGCUAAUGCUGACAUCAAUGCCACAGUUGGAAGUGGGUUUAUGUUGCUCUUUCUUGUUAAGACGGUGCGUACAAUGACCAUUAUUUGAUACUUUGCAUAGGCGUUUUGGAUUACUAUGGAGUUGUGUACUUUGAAUACGUAGAGUUGCAUCGAUCGCUAUUAGAAACCGGAAAACUUCGUUUGGUGGACGCGUCAUCCUGAAUCAGAAUUUGACAUUUGUGAUAAGGUCAAUGACUCAGAGCUACAUAACCAAUAUUCUGGAGAAUAGCAUGAACUCAACCACCACAUGUUUAUUUUAUCAUAUCAUCUCAGUUUAAUAUUUUUUUCUUCUUUAGCUGACGUCGCUAAUAAUUAACAAAAUACUUGGAGAAAUUAUUUUAAUCUGCACUAACAAAAUUCGUUAUCUGUAUAUAUAUAUAUUUGAUGGGAAGCCACUAUUAUUGUGUUAUUAGUAUUGGAUCGGAUUGUUCUGACUACGAAAACCUCAAAUUUCUCAUUCGUCUAGUUCGGUCUAUGUAAUCAUUAAAACUAACGAUUUGAACAGUCCGGACCGGUUUUGUGGUUUGUUGUCUCAUUCUAAGAGGUUAACCUCCAUUUUCCGUAUGAAUGGUACGGUCUACAUAGGAUUGUCAAGUUACAUAGUACACUAAGGUAUAUGAAGUAGAUAGUAUAAUGUACUGUAUUGUUGACAAUGUUACGUACUUUAAGAUCGUAUAUAAUUUUCCAAAUGCAGUCUAGCGAAUUCCUUUCAAAUUGUAUAUCGUAUCGAGAUUGGUACAUAUCAAACUAUGUUACAUAUGCCUGGUUAGUGGUGGGUGUUGGUCGAAUUGAUCUCAUCAACAAAGAGUAGUCAAUAGACUUUAAGUUUGAAAAUGUUCAACACUAGUAAAACCUUAAAAUUUUAUUUUUUAACUUCAUUUGACUAUUAUUUGAAGGACUUAACAUGACAAAAUCUUAAUUUUUAGUCAUUCUCAACAUGCAUGUCAAAUAUUAGCCAAUUUAAAAAAUUUCAAUUUUCAUGUCAAAAUUGGUCAAUUUCGUGUGUUACACUAUGGAAAUUUGACCAAUUUCACAAGAAAAAUUCAAAAUUUUCAAAUCAACUAAUAUUGGACAUGCAUGUUGCCUAAAAAUCAAGUUUCACCUAUGAUAACCCCUCUAUAGGGCUGGAAAUCGGACGGGUUCGGGUACCCAUACCCGUUUUGAGCGGGUAAUUGUACCCGCAGGUGGUAUGAAUGUUUAGCGUAAUAGGUUUGGUAAAUUUUGGGUAUAGUAGUAAGGUUUAUUCAUAACGGGUAUUUCGGGUACCCUUCGGGUAUACCCAAACGAGUAUCGGGUACCCGCCGGCAGAAGAAUAUGAUAAUUUUCAAACCAAACUUCGAACCCGUACGAGUAUCAGGUACUCAAACCCCACUUAAGUUCGGAACAAGAUCGAGAUUACCUGAUACCUGUUACCCAAACUUCCAACUCUGACCAUUAAAUAAUGGCCAAAUAAAAUUAUAAAUCAAUUUUCCUCGGUUACUAACUUACUUCAUAUAAUUUUCCAAAUACGGUCUAGCUAAUACCUUUCAAAUUGAAUCAUAUCAAGAUCAUUACAUACCAAACUAUGUUACAUAUCCACUCAUACCUCAUUAGUUGAUUAACCUCUAAUCAACCGGAUUAAUUAUGUAUUACUAAAUGAUCACUUGGCUUCGAUCCUAACCACACUUUCACAUAUCCAUAAUUCAACCGACUCGAUUUUGAUUAAAUUUUAUCAGAGUUUCUUUAUAAAACCAAAUAAGUGGUUAGUUCGGCUUGAUUACUGAUUGGCUCAGGAUGUUGGUCAGGUAGGUUAAGAUUUGACCAAUCAUUGACUAAUAACCAUAUUUUGACUGAUGACCCGACACUUAUUUUAACUAUAAUCUAACCGAAACUCUCAUUAGCCGGAAAGAUAGCUUAUCGAAAACAAUUAAAUUCAUCAAUGAAUAAAAUCGUUUGGCCAACCCGCAAAGUACUAUACCGUAUGUCCACGUGCGGGAUAGCUCAGGUGGUAGAGCUGAUUGAUGACCUGAAAGUCCAUGGUUCAAAUCCAAUCACACUUAACAAAUGGAAACCCAUAGAAUAUUUAAUGUAUUCUUUCUUGUUGGGUGACUCUAUUGCGGUUGUGCCUCCUCGGAUUCCCCUGUAUGAUUUGUCCCCUUCAACAUGCCCUUGCGGAUGGUGGAACAAUGAUAUUCAGACCUCCUUGACUGAACUUUAUGUUUUGAAGCCCUUAACUCUUCAUAAUUGAAGACUUUGUGAUUGAUGUUUCCUACAGGUAUUUGGCAAAUAAACAUUAAGAGCAAUAUUGAGUUGAUGUUUUCCUGAUUUACUUAUCAGAGUACGCGUUGUAAAGCUAGCGAUACAUCUUCAAAAGUCCUAACCUCUAGGAUUACUUAAUCUUCAACUUUAAAUAUAAAUUAAUUAUCGAUCUGCUAAUAAAACUGAUCAUUCCAUACACCAUUUAUCACAAAAAAACUAUAACUCUAUAAAGAGAAACAUAUGGAAUACAAGUAGUAGUGUGUAACGUAAAGAACGGGAGGUGAAAGUGGGGGUGUCGGGUUGGUUGGGGAAUGGGUUGGGAGCAUGUGAUGUUAUGGCAAUGACUUUGGAGUUUGGAGUUAUUAAUGAAUGGAUUUCACAUGAAAUAACGUACCUUCUUCACAUGCUUCUUCCUUCUUCCUAAAUUUAUGUCCCAUAUCUGCCCCCCACAACGUUCCACCAAGGCACUAACUAGGGUUUGCGAUAACUGGACAGGUUUUAUUCUCGUUUGUUAUUGAUCUUCUAAGCUGAUUAUCACUCGAUUGCUAGGCCAAAUAUGAAUAUAGUUACCAGCUCUACAUUUCCAGAAGCAAACUUAAAAAAAAAUUGUUAUAGCAACCGCUAGUACAAUUUGUAUGACGUUUAUAUCGGAGUUGUAUAAUUAUAAAAUAUAUAUAUUCUUAGUAUGAGUUUGUACAUCGUUCAUAUAUAUUAUAUUAUGACCGGAUAUAAGAUAAUUAACAACGUUUGAAGUUUUAUUAGGUCGUCUAAUUAAUUACUAUUCUUUUUAUCGGGACCGCACUCGCCUAUAAUUUAAUUUGAAAUUUUUGGGUGAUGUAAAUCGUUUGAUUGUGACCAAAUUUUUAUGGCUGAAAGCACUCAAGAACAUUGAGAGACAACGAUGUAACGUUUGUUAUGAUGUUAAGCUAUUAUUAUAUCUUUUACGGCCGUUAUUUCUCUUUAAUUCCCAGCUUUUGAACAACAAACAAAACGGAGGCCAAAAAGACACAUGAAAUUAAAUAUUUUGUUUUUAUUUAUUUUUAAAACUGUAUCGGUAUGUAUGGUAAAAAUAGAAACAAAUUCAAUUGGAAAUCGGUCGUUUUUAAAGUGUGUUGUCUUGAAUUCGGAUGGUUUUAUUAUUUUGGAGAUCGGUCAAACAGUUGCAGGAGGCUUGAUUUAAGAUUCAGCUUGUCUCAUUAUUUGUGUUUUUCAACUUAAGCAUGCAUUGGUGUGUUUUCGAUCACCUGAACAGAGUUAAAGACUGUUGUAACUGACCUUAAUAUAGUUUGGGAGAGAGGAUAUUGAAGAUCACACAGAUGCGGCUCGACUCUUAUUGUGCAUUGCAAUUGAUACGGCAAGAGACAAGGGCGAUUCACCAGGACUAUGUUGUUGUGUAUCAAAUUUAUUAGUUGAUGAAAAGGGCGUUAAAGAUCGAGUUUAUUCAUGUUUAUGGAAAAGACAAUCAUAUAUCAGACUGCCUUGUUGGUAUUGAAUACGAAAGAGUUUUAAUAUUUAUUCUUUUCCUAUUUUUAGUCAUGGCUUGGUGUACUCGGCGUUGCAUGCGGGUAAGUCAUUGAGAAUAUUUAUCAUUUACUUGAAGUGAAAGAAAAUAUUUAUGAGGCAAAACCUUACCGAUUCUUACGAUAAAGCGUGCAAGUAAAUCAUUUUCCACAAAUAAUCAUUUCCCCUUCGAGUACAAAUUAAUUGUUGACGUUAAAUGGAGCGUGCCGCAACAAUGAAAACGACAAAUCAAUAAAAUUUGAAAUGAAUAAAAAAUUACAAAAACAUGUUGAAUACUGACAGCCUGACAUCCAAUUAACCUGGUCAACAUAUGUCCCAACAAAUCGCAGACAACCACGUGUACGCUCCAGGUGCCGGAUCCGCCAGGUGUCAGUCCAGCGGGCACGUUACUAAGUCUCGUUGGUGAAAUCGAAAGUUAAAGCAUGAUUACACGACAAAACUAAUCUUAACAGAUUCAAUUAACCAACAAAUCUAACGCAAGUUUGUUCCUCAUGUAAAGUAAUUGUGCCGUAAAGUGCGCAUAUUUAUUUUGGAUGGUUAUAAUUGGUACACAAGCUGAGUUUUCGAGAAACAAGAGUUAACAUGGUUUAAACCCAUAAAAUCGAUCAAUCAACAAAAAGAACGAUAAAGCUUUAUCAUUAUAAAGACGGUUUAGUGAAUAGUUGUAUAAAAUUUUAGUGAUAUGGAGGUUUUUAUGGAUAUUAAUGGAUCGUUUUACAACUGGGUGGAAUUGCAGUUGGGGGUAGUGUUAUCCGCAAUCCUCAAAGUAUUUGUCUCAAGACUUUCAUGACAAAUUUGAGAGUCUAUACAAUUACGAGAGAAGAGUUUCGUGCAGCUAUCAACGGCCUUCGUAUCGCUUGGGAUAGUGACGACAUGAAAAUUAACCAACAAGUUGAUUCAAUGGUCAUCGUCGUCUAUGCUUUUAAGGACUCCAUUGGCGAUGCUCGACGCUCAGGAAAUAUUAUCGAGCUAAAAGCUCCUCAUUCCGUCAAAACUGGGAUGUUCGAAUCACACACACUUUUGAAGAAAAUAAUCGAAUUUGUCAAUCUCCUUACCUAUCUUAGACACUCUUUUCCUUUUAAUUUUCAUUUAAUUACUUUUUUUAUUAUUUAAAUCCAACCACACCCUAUUAAGAUUUCAUUUCUUUUGAUAUAUUCCACAUUAAUAAAAUUGAACACUUGUCCACAUUUUUACCAAAAAAACUAACCGGUUGAACCAACCGGUCCAAUAAUCCAAUAUGUUUCUUAAUCCAAACAUUAAUAUAUAGUUUUUGAGGUUAAUUACCGUGAAUGCCCUUGGGGGCAGGUGGACGGGUUCUAGUGUAUAUAAAUGGAGUCGGAAGCAGCUCAAAGAACACCAGAGCGUAAACACCAAACCAGAAAAAAAAAAUAGUGAGGCUUUCAUCUUCUCUUCUCCUAUCUUCUUUCCCUCAGCAACCAAGCACCCAUCUUUUCCUUCAUCCAUUCCGUUUCUGUGAUUCCUCUGUUCCUUUUUCAUAUCUUCACUUUCUCUUCCUCUGUUUUCAUAACCCCUCUCUUUUUUGCAUAACCAUGGCUGCAGAGCUAAUGGAGGCACUAGAACCUUUCAUGAGAUCCCCACCUUCUUCUUGUUUUUCCCUAAACCAGCUGAAUCCAUCUCAAAUCCUCCAGAUCCAAGCUCAGCUCCAAACCCAGAUGACCAAUUACAAAACCCCCCUGGCAGUUACUCCUUCCCCGAUGAAGCGGUCCGCGGUUAAGCCGCCGACGAAGCUUUACCGGGGAGUGAGGCAGCGCCACUGGGGGAAAUGGGUAGCCGAAAUCCGGCUACCCAAGAACCGAACCAGGCUCUGGCUCGGAACCUUCGAAACCGCCGAGGAAGCCGCUCUCGCUUACGACCGAGCCGCUUACAUGCUCCGAGGCGAUUUCGCUCGGCUCAACUUCCCGCAGAUGGUUCACACCGGCGGGCAGUUCAUCAAAACCCUGCAUUCUUCCGUCGAGGCUAAGCUCCAGGCUAUAUGCCAGAGCUUGGAGGAGAAGAAGAAAACAGGGGAGGUGGAAAACAGGGCAUCCCCUGUUAAAGUUGAGGAAGCAGAGGUUUCUUCUUCUUCUUCGAGUUCGAAUUCGAAUUCCGAGAUUUCGUUCCUCGACUUCACCGAGACGGAAUCGAGAUGGGGAAUCGGAGAGACUUUCGGGUUGGAGAAGUUUCCUUCUGCAGAGAUUGAUUGGGCUGCUAUCUGAAUUUUUUCUUCAAUUUUUAUUUAGGAGCUUUCUGCAAUGGAGUUUUUUUUGACAGUUGCAGAAAGGGAUGAACUUUUAUUUUUUACUUUUUCACCUUUGGUCCGAAGUUGGGUUAAUUUUUUUUACCUGCUUUGUGACGGUAGAAGAAGACAGGGUUUUACUUUUUUAUCCUCUGUUCUUCCAUGUUAUUGUUCUCUGUUUGUAGCUUUUCCUUUGGGGGUCUUUUGGGGUUUCAGAGCUGGUAACUUUUUACUACCAGCUUUGGCCUUCUCAUUUUUACCUUUUUACUGUUGAUUUUCUUUUUAUGUCGUAGCUUUGUAAUUAUUAUUUAUUAAGCAGUGCCUUUAGUUUGUGUAAAUUGUCUUUUAGUACAUGUUCCUUGCUUGUUUGGGUGUAAGAUGUUUGAGAUCCAGUUGAUUGGGGGACCUCUCAACUAAUUUUCUUUUACUAUAACACAAAAUACGUCAUAAUGACUAAUAGAUCAAAACAGCCCGAUAUAAAAUAGGAAAAGAAUAAAUAUCAAAAUGUAUUUUUAAUGCGAAUAGGGUUAAGUUUUCAACAUGAAUAUGAUUUACCAUGGUAAAAUAUUAGUAAAUCUUUCCAAUGUUUGGCGUAUGAACUGCAAUGUAUAUUGAUAAUGAUGGACACAAGAGGGCUUCUCGAAGCCGACCUAGCCCAUUUUCAAAUUUUUAACUUUAAUACUAUGUACUUUUUAUUAUAUUUAUAGACUGGUUAGCAUAUUUUUUAUAUUCAGUUUAAUAAUUUUUAAUUUUUAUAUAAUUCAACUUAGUGUGUUAAACUAUCUUAAAUCUAUCAAUCGAUUAGUCCAUGCUUAUGUUUUCACAUUGUGGUUAGAAUUUAGGUGAGUGACAAAUUGAUUAGUCUAUGAUUAUGAUUUGAAUUGGUCGUAUAUGUGGAUUCAUGGGGCCAUGCAAAUCUUUGAAAUCCAAAGAUAAAUUCAAAGGAGAGCAAUCAAGGAGUACUUUCUGCCACUAGGGCAGGCCCAUAGGGACAAUUUAUUGGUUCAAUUUGCAUACUAAAAGUCAAGUUUACUGGUCAUAAAUGAAUGAGAAAAAUAGGAUUUUCAACACUUCAAGCAAACUCCAAUCACCACUCAAAUAGGAAGAAGUUUUUCCCCGAUAUGAAGUAAAUAUCUCGAUAUUCAUAUUAGUUAUGUGGUGGGUUAUAUAUAUGAAGAAAGUUUGGUAUAAUGUGCAUAAUGUGAGGUAUUUUAAUGUGAGGUAUAAACAUCAAAGGUGUUUUAGCUCAAGAUACAAGACUCAAAACUAAAAUCAAUCAUACAACCAUAGUAGAAUGGGUCGUAUUAAAGCAAGUUGAAUAAUAAGGAAAUUUUUAUUCGUUAGAUAUUCAUUGAAAAUCGAGUAACAUCUGAUUAAACAAGGUCAAAUCAGAUCGACUAAUACAUACAAUAUCCAAAUUGUUAUUGUUAAUCCCAUAUGCUAACCAAGUUUCCACUUUGACCAUCACUUUGCAAUGACUUGAAUUAUAAGUAACUUAGAUCAACAAUUAGUCUUAUUUCACUAUUUUUAAUUUAGAAAUCCUCAAAUCACGGUUGCUCAUCAUGUGCAUUGGUCGCCAUCUUCCCAUCAAUUUGCGUUGUGGUCCAAAUGCAAUUGUUAAUAUAGUGGGAAUUGUUUAAAAAAAUGAUUUCGAUGCAAAAUUAAUAUGGUUUUUCGGAGUAGAUUGAAAAAAAUAGAAAAUACUCGUUUGUAGGAUGUAAUAAAUUGAAACCCAAAAUCUCUAACUCAUUAACACAUAAUUCUGUCAUUAGAAUAAUUUGGUUAAUACUAUUUUUGUCAUGAUUACAUUUUUCAUCAAUUUAUAUGUAAUUUGAUCAUGGUCAUAAAUAAUAUUUAUAAGUAUUUAAAAAAUUAUACAAAUUGUUUUUUCGACUGAAUGAUACCAAUUUUCAUUUUAUAUCCUCGAAUUAUUUUUCUCCUGGUCGAAAAGCAAUGUAUAUGUGCAUUAAACAUUACAACCAAACUAGUAUUUGUAAUAACUAUUACUUGUAUAUGUUCAAAUAGGUUGUAUUUUAGUAGUUGUAGCAUCUGAUUUUGUUUUUAAGCAUUUUAAUUUUGAAGUCCGAAAUGCACAAUCAUUUCAGUCAUGUGAUGGCAUCACUAACCUCGCCUAAGCUAAAGGCCAACAACCCCGAAAUUUAUCCAAUAACAACAUCACUAAAUGUAUCUUUCAAAAAGAUUUUUCGUUAUAAAAAUAAUAAUUAUCUAUAUCUAAAACUACAACAACUAAUACUAAAUAAACAUCAAACUAUCUGAAUCUGAAACCGUCCUAACCUCAAACUUCUUUCAUGCUUUAUUUUUAUUUUAUUCUCCAAAAUAGCGGUGGUUGUUUUCCCACUUUAUAUAAUUCAGAAAUUCCUCCCUUUAAAAGGUUCUGGUUGGGCCAUCACGAAUCCAUCCAAAAGCUUGAUCCAUGAAGCUUCUUCACCUCUCCUUCUUGGAGAUUUCUUUCUUUUUUAAAGAUUCCCAAAAUAAUUUGAUUGAUGAUUAAAAUGCAACAAGGUGACAACAAGUGGGUGUGAAUGGGAUGGGAUUUUGGAAUUUUCAACUUUGUUUGCAAUCCUUGUUAAAGAAGGAUUCCUCAGAGAAUAUAUGCAUAUGAUCUUCAACUUUAGUACUCAACACUUUUGUCACUUUACAUGUAGUUAUGACGUGUGAGUUAGUUUCAAAAGAUUACUACUAUGUACAUUCACACUUCACCACAAGUUAGCUCUUGAGAUUCUUCAUUUUGUCUUUGGAUCUCUAUUGAUAGAUUCAAAUGGUAUGAGAUUUUGAUCGAGUCAGAUUUAGCGAAAUCUAAAACGUAUAUAAGAUUAUAUUGGUUUAUGUAUGAUUUGGAUUCGAUGGAUGGUUGAAUUGUGGGGUCGAAAAAGCCCUUUCCUCAUAUUCUGUUGCUACUUUGUUUUUGGAGUUUUGGAACC
rnacentral:lncRNA from 1 species